rnacentral:rRNA from 1 species
AUCGAUGAAGAACGCAGCGAAAUGCGAUAAGUAAUGUGAAUUGCAGAAUUCAGUGAAUCAUCGAAUCUUUGAACGCACAUUGCGCUCCCUGGUAUUCCGGGGAGCAUGCCUGUUCGAGCGUCAUUACAACCCUCAAGCUCUGCUUGGUGUUGGGCCCCGCCGCCCCGGCGGGCCCUAAAGUCAGUGGCGGUGCCGUCCGGCUCCGAGCGUAGUAAUUCUUCUCGCUUUGGAGGCCCGGGCGCGUGCUCGCCAUCAACCCCCAAUUUUUAUCAGGUUGACCUCGGAUCAGGUAGGGAUACCCGCUGAACUUAAGCAUAUCAAUAAGCGGAGGAAAAGAAACCAACAGGGAUUACCUCAGUAACGGCGAGUGAAGCGGUAACAGCUCAAAUUUGAAAUCUGGCCUCACGGUCCGAGUUGUAAUUUGUAGAGGAUGCUUCGAGCAUGGUCUGGCCUAAGUUCCUUGGAACAGGACGUCAUAGAGGGUGAGAAUCCCGUAUGCGGUCAGGUGCCUACGCUCAUGUGAAGCUCCUUCGACGAGUCGAGUUGUUUGGGAAUGCAGCUCAAAAUGGGUGGUAAAUUUCAUCUAAAGCUAAAUAUUGGCCAGAGACCGAUAGCGCACAAGUAGAGUGAUCGAAAGAUGAAAAGCACUUUGGAAAGAGAGUUAAACAGUACGUGAAAUUGUUGAAAGGGAAGCGCUUGCAACCAGACUUGCGCGCGGCCGAUCAUCCGGUGUUCUCACCGGUGCACUCGGCCGUGCUCAGGCCAGCAUCGGUUUUGGCGGCUGGAUAAAGGCCCCAGGAAUGUGGCUCCUCUCGGGGAGUGUUAUAGCCUGGGGUGCAAUGCAGCCUGCUGGGACCGAGGACCGCGCUUCGGCUAGGAUGCUGGCGUAAUGGUUGUAAGCGGCCCGUCUUGAAACACGG